UUAUAAGGAAGGCGACAGUCCUCUGUUUCAGCCUUUCUCUCCAGAAGGACUUGCAGUGGUAUUUCUGGUCUUGUAAACACUGGACUGUAUGGGACUU
ensembl:misc_RNA